GUGGAAUUUAUAUCCACAUAUUAUUAUUCUCUUAAAUAUUUACUGUAAGUACAAAACACAUCUUAGAAUCACAUACAGUAUUCAAAAUAUCAAUUCACAGGAUGUAGCAGAUAUCAGCGAGCAUAACCAUAUCACAAAACAAUAAAAGGACCUAACUCACACAAUCCCAUAGAUUAUAAAUCACUAAAAAAAAAACAGAUAAAACUAUACCUACAAAAUCUAUAUGUGUAUACUAUACACACCUCAAAGAACCAAACUAAUAACAACCACGUCAAUUAAACAUAUAAAUAAUUUUACCAAAAAAAAAA
rnacentral:lncRNA from 1 species